UGUGCAUGUAAAUUGACAAUAUGAUUCUACAAAAAUUAGUGUGAUUCUAACAUGUGCUACCAACAUUUUCGUACUCAUCAUGAGUUUUCUUACUGAUUUGGCAUUAGCCAUGCUCGCAACUGCUACCAAAGAUGCCACUUGGGACGUGGCUGACUAGAAGUACUACCGGAGCUUGGAGUUACAGUGAUUCUUUCUGCAUUUGCAGCAACCCAUUUGCUGAAAUC
rnacentral:misc_RNA from 1 species